rnacentral:rRNA from 1 species
AUGACGUCAAAUCAUCAUGCCCUUAUGACCUGGGCUACACACGUGCUACAAUGGUUGGUACAACGAGUUGCGAGUCGGUGACGGGCGAGCCUAAAUCUACUUAAAGCCAAAUCUCAGUUCGGAUUGUAGGCUGCAACUCGCCUACAUGAAGUCGGAAUCGCUAGUAAUCGCGGAUCAGCACGCCGCGGUGAAUACGUUCCCGGGCCUU